rnacentral:pre_miRNA from 1 species
GUAGUACUCCCUCCAUUCGGAAUUACUUGUCACAAAAAUGGAUGUAUCUACAAUUAAAAUACAUCUAGAUACAUUAAUUUCUUGGACGAGUAAUUCCGAACGGAGGGAGUAUGUA